rnacentral:rRNA from 1 species
GUCAAGCAAUCUCGGGCUUGGUUAGUACUUGGAUGGGUGACCGCUUGGGAAUACCAAGUGUGAUAAGCA